rnacentral:rRNA from 1 species
GUCUAUGGCCAUACCACCCUGAAUGCUCCUGAUCUCAUCUGAUAUUGGAAGCUAAGCAGGGUCGGGCCUGGUAAGUCCUUGGAAGGGAGGAAUUAAGGAGAAAUCAAGACAGUCUCAGAUG